rnacentral:rRNA from 1 species
AGUGAACCAGUACCGUGAGGGAAAGGCGAAAAGAACCCCGGCGAGGGGAGUGAAAAAGAACCUGAAACCGUGUACGUACAAGCAGUGGGAGCCUCUUUAUGGGGUGACUGCGUACCUUUUGUAUAAUGGGUCAGCGACUUAUAUUCUGUAGCAAGGUUAACCGAAUAGGGGAGCCGAAGGGAAACCGAGUCUUAACUGGGCGUUAAGUUGCAGGGUAUAGACCCGAAACCCGGUGAUCUAGCCAUGGGCAGGUUGAAGGUUGGGUAACACUAACUGGAGGACCGAACCGACUAAUGUUGAAAAAUUAGCGGAUGACUUGUGGCUGGGGGUGAAAGGCCAAUCAAACCGGGAGAUAGCUGGUUCUCCCCGAAAGCUAUUUAGGUAGCGCCUCGUGAAUUCAUCUCCGGGGGUAGAGCACUGUUUCGGCAAGGGGGUCAUCCCGACUUACCAACCCGAUGCAAACUGCGAAUACCGGAGAAUGUUAUCACGGGAGACACACGGCGGGUGCUAACGUCCGUCGUGAAGAGGGAAACAACCCAGACCGCCAGCUAAGGUCCCAAAGUCAUGGUUAAGUGGGAAACGAUGUGGGAAGGCCCAGACAGCCAGGAUGUUGGCUUAGAAGCAGCCAUCAUUUAAAGAAAGCGUAAUAGCUCACUGGUCGAGUCGGCCUGCGCGGAAGAUGUAACGGGGCUAAACCAUGCACCGAAGCUGCGGCAGCGACGCUUAUGCGUUGUUGGGUAGGGGAGCGUUCUGUAAGCCUGUGAAGGUGUGCUGUGAGGCAUGCUGGAGGUAUCAGAAGUGCGAAUGCUGACAUAAGUAACGAUAAAGCGGGUGAAAAGCCCGCUCGCCGGAAGACCAAGGGUUCCUGUCCAACGUUAAUCGGGGCAGGGUGAGUCGACCCCUAAGGCGAGGCCGAAAGGCGUAGUCGAUGGGAAACAGGUUAAUAUUCCUGUACUUGGUGUUACUGCGAAGGGGGGACGGAGAAGGCUAUGUUGGCCGGGCGACGGUUGUCCCGGUUUAAGCGUGUAGGCUGGUUUUCCAGGCAAAUCCGGAAAAUCAAGGCUGAGGCGUGAUGACGAGGCACUACGGUGCUGAAGCAACAAAUGCCCUGCUUCCAGGAAAAGCCUCUAAGCAUCAGGUAACAUCAAAUCGUACCCCAAACCGACACAGGUGGUCAGGUAGAGAAUACCAAGGCGCUUGAGAGAACUCGGGUGAAGGAACUAGGCAAAAUGGUGCCGUAACUUCGGGAGAAGGCACGCUGAUAUGUAGGUGAAGCGACUUGCUCGUGGAGCUGAAAUCAGUCGAAGAUACCAGCUGGCUGCAACUGUUUAUUAAAAACACAGCACUGUGCAAACACGAAAGUGGACGUAUACGGUGUGACGCCUGCCCGGUGCCGGAAGGUUAAUUGAUGGGGUCAGCGCAAGCGAAGCUCUUGAUCGAAGCCCCGGUAAACGGCGGCCGUAACUAUAACGGUCCUAAGGUAGCGAAAUUCCUUGUCGGGUAAGUUCCGACCUGCACGAAUGGCGUAAUGAUGGCCAGGCUGUCUCCACCCGAGACUCAGUGAAAUUGAACUCGCUGUGAAGAUGCAGUGUACCCGCGGCAAGACGGAAAGACCCCGUGAACCUUUACUAUAGCUUGACACUGAACAUUGAGCCUUGAUGUGUAGGAUAGGUGGGAGGCUUUGAAGUGUGGACGCCAGUCUGCAUGGAGCCGACCUUGAAAUACCACCCUUUAAUGUUUGAUGUUCUAACGUUGACCCGUAAUCCGGGUUGCGGACAGUGUCUGGUGGGUAGUUUGACUGGGGCGGUCUCCUCCUAAAGAGUAACGGAGGAGCACGAAGGUUGGCUAAUCCUGGUCGGACAUCAGGAGGUUAGUGCAAUGGCAUAAGCCAGCUUGACUGCGAGCGUGACGGCGCGAGCAGGUGCGAAAGCAGGUCAUAGUGAUCCGGUGGUUCUGAAUGGAAGGGCCAUCGCUCAACGGAUAAAAGGUACUCCGGGGA